rnacentral:pre_miRNA from 1 species
AAAAAGACAAACCUUGGUUUCCGUAUCCAACGUUUGAUCGUUCGUCUUAUUUGAAAAAAUUAUGAAAAAAAUUAAAAAGACAAGUCACGCAUAAAAUAUUAAUCAUGUUUUAUCAUCUAACAACAAUGAAAAUACGAAUUAUAAAAAAAUUUCAUAUAAGACGGACAGUCAAAGUUGGACAUGGAAACUCAGGGUUUGUGUUUUU